UACGUAGGGGGCGAGCGUUGUCCGGAUUUAUUGGGCGUAAAGAGCGUGUAGGCGGCCAGGUAGGUCUGCUGUGAAAACUCGAGGCUCAACCUCGAGACGUCGGCGGAAACCAUCUGGCUAGAGUCCGGAAGAGGCGAGUGGAAUUCCCGGUGUAGCGGUGAAAUGCGUAGAUAUCGAGAGGAACACCUGCGGCGAAGGCGGGUUGCUGGGCUGACACUGACGCUGAUUGUGCGAAAGCUAGGGGAGCGAACGGG
rnacentral:rRNA from 1 species